UACGAAGGACCCAAGCGUUAUCCGGAUUUAUUGGGUUUAAAGGGUGCGUAGGCGGGUUGUUAAGUCAGUGGUGAAAGCUCCGAGCCUAACUCGGAAACUGCCAUUGAUACUGACGAUCUUGAGUACAUUUGAGGUGGGCGGAAUGUGUCAUGUAGCGGUGAAAAUGCUUAGAUAUGACACAGAAACACCGAUUGCGAAAGGCAGCUCACUAAAACUGUAACUUGACGCUGAGGCACGAAAAGCGUGGGGGAGCAAAACAGG
rnacentral:rRNA from 1 species